GUUACAGAUAUUUCUACUGAAAGAAAAUUCUGUAACUUCAAAAAUGGCAGUCUUCCAGAAAUGGAAAUACAUUGAUCAACAGGAAACCUAAGGUCUAAAACUGCAAAGGGUUGUGGCUACAGAUUUAUAGAGGAAUGAACCAUAUUGACUGGAGAUCCACAGAAUUCCUACCAAAAGGAUGAAACUUUAUGCGAAGCUACUUCAAGGAGAAGAUUGUGAGAAUGAGACAGUCCUUAUAAAAAUGAACGUAAUCUGAGAGCAGAGGUGAAAUGAUACCAAAAAAAUCAGGCUGGCACAGAAGGAGGGCACUUCUCUCAGAGCCUCCAUCCUCCUGAGAGGGUAUGGCGAUUGCAAGACACAGAGCAGGGUGUGCUGUGCAGUGAGCCUCUGUGUCACGGCAAAGCAGAUUAUGCCCUGGAGACCUAGAAGUGCUCCCAUAUUCCUGUUGUGGCUGUACUGCUGUCCAAGUGACUCUGACAAGGCACCUUUCUGUUGGCUGCACUGCCUGGCUGCCUUGGCUUCCCUCCCAGCCCACCUUUAUUCCUGCUCAUUUGGUGACACUGCUGAAUUUGAUGGUGUUUGCUCAGCACCAGGUGUGAACUGGCAGCACCUCCACAGUGACUGCGGCCACCAGGAGUUCAAACACACCCAUUGGCUUCGCACUGUCAGUUGCAGCAAUUAUUGCAAAUGAACAGACAUCACAAACAAAACAGAAGCCCAACCUUGCUAGAACCUACUCGCAGAUGGACAAAUUUGUUAUUGUUUUCACGAUCUUUUGCAGUGUGUUUGCAAGUUUCUACAGCCUUGUUUAAAUUCUAGCAAGGACCUUUUUGCACCAACUUUGCAGGAUUUCAUUUGUGAGUUGUACAUUUAAUUCUCCACAGCAGAUGGUGAUGUGUGGGUGUACCACUGUAUAUUUGCAACAGAUUCCUUAUCCUACAAAAUUAAUUAAGUGUCUCAUGUGCUGAUUUAAAAUCAGAAUUGCAUUGUUUGUAAAAAGCUAAUUCUUGCAUAUCAUUUUGCUGGGACCUGUGCAACUCAAGCACAGUGUAAGGAAGAGAAGGCUCAGUGCUCCUCUAUAGCACAUAGCAGCGCUGCCAGUCCUGUGUGCAGUCUAAGAGCUCGAGAUCUCUGUGUUCGUUACUGAAAUAAAUGUCCUUAUUUGAUAGUCUUGUGGGGUCUGAAAGGAAGCUGUGCAGCUGCUGCUGGGAGGAAUCCUGGCUCUUCGUGGCCAUUGGUGCAACGCUGAUGGCUUCUGGGGUGGAAUCCUGCACUCGGCACCUGGUGUGCAUUAGGUCUGAGGGACAGAAGGAAGUGGCCUUGUGCUGUACGUACCUGGGAGCAAGCAGCAGGAGCUAGGACAAGGCUGGUGAUCCCACUGCUGUGAUGUAAGGAGGGCACUUUGCUGGGGAGCAGCUCAGGUAGCGGACUUGGGAUUUUGAUCUUUUGCUAUUUCAAUGGGAAAUAAUUUGUAGCCUCUUAAAUUUCACUCAAAUUUUAAAUGUUAAUACAAAAUAGUUUAAGCUCUUUAAAAUGUGCUGUUUACAAAUGUGAUACAUGUAGAUGGCAAAAUGUCAAGCUUUGUGUGAAAAGCAGCUGCUUACGUGUGUGUUUACAUCCUCUUCCCAGUUAUUUCUGCUGAAAGGGCAUUUCAGAGAAUUGCUAAUAUGAUGAUAGAUGAACCUGUCUGACAUCAGAUGUGGUUGGCUUAAGUUAAUUGGACCUUGUGUCUGUCCCUCUGUUUGCCUUCCUUCCUACAGCUUUUCCCGGUGCAUUUUCGGGCUUUCUGAAAUGCAGGAUAUGAGAACAGGAGCUCCAGAAGCUCGGUGACACCUCAGUGGGUCAGCCUCUGUGCUCCCUGCACGCAGUUUCUGCUGAUGGCCUCAGCUGUGCCUGUCACACCAAUAGUCGUGGUUCUCGUGCGGUGGCAGUGACCCCUCACCACCCCUGGGAUCACAGCGAGUGCUCAGCAUUGGGCUGCAGGAGCUGCGCGCCCUGUGAGGUGUGUGUGGGUUUUGCUUUUGGUUCCUCCCAGCAGCUCCUGUUUUGCCCACUUCAGAACCUACUGAAGCUCGGCUGCAUUGUCUCCAUCACUUCUGGGUUUCAGAAGUCAGUUAUUUUUAGACUAGAAAUACUGGAUUAGCCUGAGACGGCAAAGCUUUUGUAAUGUUCUGGAUUUGUUCUUUCAUUCUGCUCCCAGUGAACAAUGAAUUACUGCUGUGCAGUGAGCCUGGGCUUUGAGCUCCUCAGGGCAGGGAACGAAUCUGCCCAGUCCUCGCUCGCUGACCCGGCUGUACCUCACCUCACUGCAGCCACUGAAGGGGACGUGCAAGGUGACAGCCCUGCCUGCUCCAGGUGAUGGCAAAAAGGGACAGUCCCCGAGGCCUUUCUCUCUUGCCCCCACAGCUGAGCCAAGUGCUCAGUAACACCUGGGUGAGGCAGGGUCCAUCCAGCCCCCAUGCAGUGCCAAUGGAAGCAAUUAAUGGUAACAGGAAUGAGUCUGUAUGUGACAGACCUGCUGCCGUAGUACUGGAAGCCAGGCUUCCAGAGCAGAAGCUGUGGGCCUUCCCCCUACCAGCCCCUGCCCACCCUCACCCCAUCCCAUUCAGCCCAAGCACAGCACUGAGGGAAGCACGCUCCAACCCCCCAGGUGAUUUUCCAUUUAGGCAGCAGGCUCGCUAAUUGCACAGUGAUUACCCUUUCAUGAAAGGAAUAUAGAAGUUGAUUACUUUGAGUGAGUGGUAGGGAGCAGUGGUUCGGAGCAGAGCCUGUGUUUCAGUAGGAAUUCCUGGUUCUGCUCAGGCAGGAUGGGUGCAGGCAAAGGCAGCACUUGUAGCCCCUUUUAUCCAGCACACAGGUGUGCUGCUCUCCUAAAGCAGGUCAGGACUUUACAUAUCACAGCCAUGACACCAACAUGGCUUUUUGUUUUUCUUAAACAGGCAUAAAAGCCUUUGUACAGCUGAUGUAAGAGUGUUUAUGAGUGCGUAACAGGGACAUGGGCACCUCAUAUCAAGAAGAUGCUGAAGAACAGCAGCUGAGCCUGAAGUGGAUGUAAGGAAAUUAGGCCCUUUCAUAGUCAACAUCACAACCUCCAGAGCACAAACAGGCUCCUGCCUUAACCAGCCCAUCCCAUGCUGCCUGCUCACUGCUGGUCUGGCCAUGUGAGGUACACAGCAGAAAGGAGGAAAAAAAAAGAAAAAAAAAAUCAGGUGAAGGGAACAGAUGGUGUGGUGUACCUGGUGGCAUUCUAUUACAAGCACUACUGCCUGGGUAGUUUUUUUUUUUUUAAAACAAAGUAAGUUCAGAUAAAAAGAACUGGACUGGUGCAUGUUAAAGCCCUAACGUGUGCAUCUGUGUAGAUCAAUGGAAGGCAUGCUUCAGGGCCAAGUCUUUAAACAGAGCCACUGCUUCCUGUGUUUCACACCAUAGAAGGGGCAGAUUGAUUUAAGGAUGAAUAAAGCCAGCCAUAAAUUUAAGAACCAACUCAUGCUGGGGCCUGAAAUUAAUUAUUAUAAUCAACAGGGUAACUUAAUCUCACAAAAACACGAGUUUAUUAAUAGGUGAAGGAGCUGAAAAAUUGCACAGUCCAUCCAGCCCACUGAUACUUUUCCUAAUCUGUUACGAGAUUCAAUGCUGCAGUUUUACAAGGUACACAUUCUCAAUUAGUGAAUGUUACAUAACAUAAACAUGAACUGAAUAUUUGCAUUAAUGGGAUUCAAACAAGUCAACUGAAAUAUCAAUUGUUAUAACAUGGUGAAAAGAAUUAAAUUGGGAAUGUGGUCACACACUGUUGUACAGCAGGUAUGUACACUGUUUCAUCUCGCGUGACAUUCACAGCAUGGUCAUAGAAAAGUCAAACUAAAUGACUUAGAAAAUAUUAAUGCUGAAAUUCUCAUUACUUUUGUUUAAAGUUGAUACUGAGUUAAUAUUUUCAUUGUGUAAAAACAUCGUAUAUGGUAGAAACCCUUCAGCAUCUCCCACAUUCAAAUAAAGGUAUUGAAUCACAGUUACAAUUUGGUCUUUGGUGUCAAACAUCUUAAAUGGCAGAUUCCUUCUUGCCUUCAGAAGGAGAAAAA